GCUCAUGUAGCUCAGGGGUAGAGCACACCCUUGGUAAGGGUGAGGUCAACGGUUCAAUUCCGUUCAUGAGCUCCA
rnacentral:tRNA from 1 species